UGCCUAAGGGCUAGUAUUACCCUUAGGCACAUCUGUAUCUUGUAGCA
rnacentral:sRNA from 12 species